rnacentral:rRNA from 1 species
GACGAACGCUGGCGGCGUGCUUAACACAUGCAAGUCGAACGGAAAGGCCUUGCUUUUGUGGGGUGCUCGAGUGGCGAACGGGUGAGUAACACGUGAGUAACCUGCCCUUGACUUUGGGAUAACUUCAGGAAACUGGGGCUAAUACCGGAUAGGAGCUCCUGCUGCAUGGUGGGGGUUGGAAAGUUUCGGCGGUUGGGGAUGGACUCGCGGCUUUUCAGCUUGUUGGUGGGGUAGUGGCUUACCAAGGCUUUGACGGGUAGCCGGCCUGAGAGGGUGACCGGCCACAUUGGGACUGAGAUACGGCCCAGACUCCUACGGGAGGCAGCAGUGGGGAAUAUUGCACAAUGGGCGGAAGCCUGAUGCAGCAACGCCGCGUGCGGGAUGACGGCCUUCGGGUUGUAAACCGCUUUCGCCUGUGACGAAGCGUGAGUGACGGUAAUGGGUAAAGAAGCACCGGCUAACUACGUG